GACCAGAACUAGUUACGACGGAGGCAAGCGAGGAAGAGAGCCCUACUUAAACAUUUAUCAGGGAAGAGGAUCUCAAAGCUUCACUGACUGAGAAGGGAACUUGCAGAAUCAGAUUCUGCAUUGCAUACGGGACGGGAAUGUUCUAGACCAGUCACCACUUCAUUUCCCUAGCCCAUAAAGAAAAAUUUCUUGCUACCCUGGGAAGAAUUUUGAAUGAAGUCGUCAAACUGUUUUCCGUGGUAAGCAUAAUCAACUAAGACUGGUGUUACUUGAAGACAGAGCCUGAAAUUACACUCCUGGAUCAGAGGGAAGAGGAGCCUUCCCAAGGCUACAACUAUCCUGGCAGAAAAUUGGUAUUGCCAAUUGGGUCUCCAUUGUAAAUGAAGCCUGAGAAGAGGUCAGCCAGGAUUGUCUCUGUGCCCUACCAGGGCACUCUAAAAGCCAAGAGCAGGAAGCAAGCAUAUGUACAAGAACAGUAAUAUAUAAAGAGAUUCUAAAUUGCUUAUUUGUCCCUUUGCCCAACUUUUCACAGGCUAAUAUAGACAAACUUUCUGCAUAUCAGCCAUUAUUAUCUUUUAUUUCUAUUGCAAAUUUGUCUAAGUUUGCCAUUGAUCUUUUGAUUUUGUACAUCCUGUUUUAUUGUGUUUUACAAAAUACAAUGUUUUUAAAAAUAGGCCUAUUUAUCAAUCAUGUUCUUUCAUAUUAGCUGGGUUUGCUGUCAUUCUUACAAAGUCUUUCCCCAACAUCAUUCAAUUGUUUACCCAUGUUUUUUCUAAAAAUUUUUAUAGUUUCACUUAA